GCCUGGGUGGCUCAGUCGGUUAAGCGUCUGACUUCAGCUCAGAUCAUGAUCUCAUGGUUCAUGAGUUCAAGCCCCACAUCAGGCU
rnacentral:tRNA from 1 species